AGUGUCCAUGGUAAGCGGACUGGAAUGGGUCAGCGGUUUGUGCUGACCUAUGAAAGGAGCAUUAAGGAAUGGACACGUGCAGCCGCU
rnacentral:sRNA from 3 species